GUGAGCUAGAAACUAAAUGAAAGUAACACAGGCCUAUGUAAUCCGAGUUGGGGAUAGCGACUCUACAGCCGGAAUGCCUCUGGGAUGUGUGAAAUCGACUUGCCGAAUAAAAGUACCGAAACCUAUGUAAUCUGUGAUUGGGGAUAGCGACUCUACAGUCGGAAUACCGCUGGGCAUUGCAUGAUAGGAGGUUGCGAGUUGGGGAUAGCGACUCUACAGCCGGAAUGCCUCUGGGAUGUGUGA
rnacentral:lncRNA from 1 species